GACGGAGGAUGCAAGCGUUAUCCGGAAUGAUUGGGCGUAAAGCGUCCGCAGGUGGCUGUGUAAGUCUGCUGUUAAAGAGUCUAGCUCAACUAGAUAAGAGCAGUGGAAACUACACGGCUAGAGUACGUUCGGGGCAGAGGGAAUUCCUGGUGUAGCGGUGAAAUGCGUAGAGAUCAGGAAGAACACCGGUGGCGAAGGCGCUCUGCUAGGCCGUAACUGACACUGAGGGACGAAAGCUAGGGGAGCGAAUGGG
rnacentral:rRNA from 1 species